rnacentral:lncRNA from 1 species
UCACAGGCCUGCCAGUACCAAGAUCCUCGACAUCCCUGGAUGCUUUCUGUGGAGCGAACCACUACAUCAUGCCUCUCUGCAACUGCUCUACCUGGUGCUCUACUCUGCCUCCGAUUCUUUGUCGGUGCUCUGCAGUGUCUGCUCUGCGCGUUGCAUGCACUCGACGCUCGUCGAACUCCUCUUGACUGCUGUCUGAGCCUCACAUGGCUAAUAUCCUCUCUCACGGCUCUUCGCCGUGAUCUCUCUUCACGAUUUUGUUGCCCACAGGGCUCUUAAAGCCCUAAAACCAA